AGAUAAUAGAUACCCUGGUAGUCCACGCCCUAAACGAUGUCUACUAGUUGUUGGUGGAGUAAAAUCCAUGAGUAAACGCAGCUAACGCGUGAAGUAGACCGCCUGGGGAGUACGGUCGCAAGAUUAAAACUCAAAGGAAUUGACGGGGGCCCGGCACAAGCGGUGGAUUAUGUGGAUUAAUUCGAUGCAACGCGAAAACCUUAACCUGGCCUUGACAUGCCACUAACGAAGCAGAGAUGCAUUAGGUGCCCGUAAGGGAAAGUGGACACAGGUGCUGCAUGGCUGUCGUCAGCUCGUGUCGUGAGAUGUUGGGUUAAGUCCCGCAACGAGCGCAACCCUUGCCAUUAAUUGCCAUCAUUUAGUUGGGCACUUUAAUGGGACUGCCGGUGACAAACCGGAGGAAGUGGGAUGACGUCAAGUCCUCAUGGCCCUUAU
rnacentral:rRNA from 1 species